UACGUAGGGUGCAAGCGUUGUCCGGAAUUAUUGGGCGUAAAGAGCUCGUAGGCGGUUUGUCGCGUCUGCUGUGAAAACCCGAGGCUCAACCUCAGGCCUGCAGUGGGUACGGGCAGACUAGAGUGCGGUAGGGGAGAUUGGAAUUCCUGGUGUAGCGGUGGAAUGCGCAGAUAUCAGGAGGAACACCGAUGGCGAAGGCAGAUCUCUGGGCCGUUACUGACGCUGAGGAGCGAAAGGGUGGGGAGCAAACAGG
rnacentral:rRNA from 1 species